CCAGACUCCUACGGGAGGCAGCAGUGGGGAAUAUUGGGCAAUGGGCGCAAGCCUGACCCAGCAACGCCGCGUGAAGGAAGAAGGCUUUCGGGUUGUAAACUUCUUUUGUCAGGGACGAAGCAAGUGACGGUACCUGACGAAUAAGCCACGGCUAACUACGUGCCAGCAGCCGCGGUAAUACGUAGGUGGCGAGCGUUAUCCGGAUUUAUUGGGUGUAAAGGGCGUGUAGGCGGGAAUGCAAGUCAGGGGUGAAAACUCCGGGCUCAACCUGGAGACUGCACUUGAAACUGGGUGUCUUGAGGGCAGGAGAGGAAAGUGGAAUUCCUAGUGUAGCGGUGAAAUGCGUAGAUAUUAGGAGGAACACCAGUGGCGAAGGCGACUUUCUGGACUGUACCUGACGCUGAGGCGCGAAAGCGUGGGUAGCGAACGGGAUUAGAUACCCGGGUAAG
rnacentral:rRNA from 1 species